UACAGAGGCCACGAGCGUUAGGCGGAAUCACUGGGCUUAAAGCGUGUGUAGGUGGAUGGGUAAGUACCUUGUGAAAUCCCACGGCUCAACCGUGGAGCUGCUUGGUAUACUGCCUGUCUUGAGGCACUCAGGGGCGAGCGGAACAGAUGGUGGAGCGGUGAAAUGCGUAGAUAUCGAGAGGAACACCUGCGGCGAAGGCGGCGAUCUGGGAAGAUACUGACGCUGAGGUGCGAAAGCGUGGGGAGCAAACAGG
rnacentral:rRNA from 1 species